rnacentral:rRNA from 1 species
CUACGGGGUGCUGCAGUGGGGAAUAUUGCACGAUGGGGGAAACCCUGAUGCAGCAACGCCGCGUGAGUGAUGACGGUCUUCGGAUUGUAAAGCUCUGUCUUCAGGGACGAUAAUGACGGUACCUGAGGAGGAAGCCACGGCUAACUACGUGCCAGCAGCCGCGGUAAUACGUAGGUGGCAAGCGUUGUCCGGAUUUACUGGGCGUAAAGGGAGCGUAGGCGGACUUUUAAGUGGGAUGUGAAAUACCCGGGCUUAACCUGGGUGCUGCAUUCCAAACUGGAAGUCUAGAGUACAGGAGGGGAAAGCGGAAUUCCUAGUGUAGCGGUGAAAUGCGUAGAGAUUAGGAAGAACACCAGUGGCGAAGGCGGCUUUCUGGACUGUAACUGACGCUGAGGCUCGAAAGCGUGGGGAGCGAACAGGAUUAGAUACCCCUGUAGUC